AUAGCCUGUGUCUGAGGCGCGCGGAGCUGGAGCGCCCAGGGCAUGUCCGCCGAUCCCAAGGAGGCAAUCUGUCAGGCGCCGCCCGGGCGGCAGUAUGCCUGAGGGGGUCCUCCGUGUUCGCGCCUCCCGCCGCCUGCACUGAAAGGUCUGUACCUGAGCCUGGAUACUUGAACAGAGGCAGACACUGCGGCUCAAAACCCCAAGGGUAGGUACCUAUUGUGCGGAGUCUCGGAACGCCUGCCUGGAAGAAGAGUUCCGGCGGCUCCCCGAACGCUUGGAGAAAGCGCUUGGAUGCAGUUGCAGGAAUAUCCUAGCUCUGAGACAAAAAUUGGGAACCUCAGCAUGAGUUUGUCACCUGAAUGAAAUAAAAAAAAUCACGUUGAAGGCUGGUGCAGUAACAUGUGCCUGUAGUCCCAGCUACUCUGGAGGCUGAGUCAGGAGGAUCACUUGAGACCAGAAGUUCAGGAAUUCAAGACUGGCUUGAGCAACAUAGCAAGACUUCAUUUCAAAACAAACAGAAAAAAGCCACCACCUUCAGUAUUUCUUGCCAAAGCAAAGGAGCCAUUUGUUCUUUACGAUGGUCAGGAAAGGAAGCAUCAAGGUCAUCAAAUGAAAAAUUUUCAGCAUUUCAGCCUCUCUGCUCAGGGAAAUAUCUGAAUCUAGAAUAUCACAACAUGAGCCAAAACCGCCCCAUUUCUCAUGCCACAUGUCACUCUUAACACAAGGUUACUCAACCUCGAGCAUGGUUGGCAUUUGGGGCUGAAUAAUUCUUUUUUGUAGGGGGCUGUCCUGGGCAUUGUAGGAUGCUCAUGAGCUACCUCAGUCUCUACCACCCACUAGAUGCCAGUAGCAUUGACCCCUGAUCUCUCUACCCAAGUUGUGACAACUAAAACCAUCUCUGGAUAAUGGAGGAACCUUAAAUGCAUAUUGCUAAGGAAAAGCCAAUCUGAAAGGAUUACAUAUUGUAUGAGUCCAACUAUAUGGUAAUCUGGAAAAGGCAAAACCAUGGAGACAGUGAAAAGGUAGUGGUUACCAGUGGUCCAUGGGAAGGGUUGGAUGAAUAGGUGGAGCACAGAGGAUUUUUAAGGCAGUGAAACUAUUCUGAAUGAUACUGUAAUGGUGGAUACAUGUCAUACCUUUGUCAAAACCAAUAAAAUAUAACAACCAAUAAAACUGCACAAAGAGUGAACCCUAAUGUAAACUAUGGACUUAAUAAUGUAUCAAUAUUGGCUCACCAAUUUUAACAAAUGUACCACACUAAUGCAAGAUGUUACUAAUAGUGGAAACUGGAGGGAAGAGGGCUUGAGGGGACAUACGGGAACUCUCUGUAAUUCCUGUUCAGUUUUUCUGUAACUGUUAAACUGUCCAAAAAAAGUCUGUUUUUAUAAAUGGAGGCAUGGUUUUAUAUGGACUAAAAUACUAUGAUUGCCUUUUUAUUUUACACAUGGUGAAAUUAGAGCAGGACAUAUUUUAAACUCAAAAUUCACAAAAUUAAUUUAUGAAAAUGUUUACCCAGAUCAAGAAUAUUAAAGAAACUUAGAUUAAUAUUGUUACCUUGAAUUUAUUUUACUGAGUAAUCCUCUAAGACUCCUCUACACAUUAUUAAUCUAGAAGGAUUUUUAAAGUCUUUAUGACAAUUAAUUAUUGGUCUACAGUCAAAUUGCGUAUCCCCAUUAACUAGAGUUAUAUUUUUCCAUUUUCUGAUCCAAAAACUUUAGGAACAGGAAAUGUUUAUUUUAGAAAACAAGAACACUUCUUAAGCAUUUGCUGUUAACAGUUAUUUUCACAUGUGCUUGUACUUAUUUUACACUUGUCAGAACAUAGUAUUUACCUUUGAACCAAGGUUUUAUAAUAAGCAAGCACUUUUUUUAUUUAGAAGUCACAUUUUCCAAGUAGAAAAAUCAUUAAAAAUUCAGUCCUCUGAAGGCUAAUUUCUUUAAAUCAUUUAACCUAAUUGUUUAAGGUAUAGAUUGGAAUUUUUCUCAGCACUCUCUUGAAAACAGGUGACAGUGGAACCCUGUUAGGUUCACAAAUCCUAGACUUUGAUUAUAUAGCCCAGGCUCAAAUUUUUCUCGAAUGUUACGAACAUUCAAAGCAUUAGGAGUCUUGGUUUCAUUUCUUAAUUUUUUUUCUUCUGGGUAUAUUUGAGACUCAUCUUGGAUUCAAAUAAAUUAAUAAUAGUCUCAUGAAACCGAUAAAAAUGGGAGCUCCAUUGAACAUGAGAGACAUUGAUUCGUAGUUUCUAACAUCCUCCAAAUGAGGAGCCCAUCCCUAAUUUAGAUGCUUCUUUCAAAGGAGGCUCCUUUCCUUCGUUAUCCAUAAUAUAGUCACACCAGUCCUGAAAAAACAUGGAACAGACUCCAGAUCUUUAUAUUUCAUACUCUAAAGUCGUACAAGCCAAUCUGCAUUUCCUCUAGUGGAAACUGUAUAGCUGGUCAUCUUUCCAGGACCCUUUUAUCAAGAAACAAUGCAGCUUCUACAUUUGUGCUGCUUCUACACCAAAACAGCUGGAAUGUAUAUAGUAUGGUUCUGGAUGCUCUUGUAUACCUCACUCUUCAUUUCUCACCUAACCCAUGUGCUAUGAUUUGAAUGUUUCUCCCCUGCAAAACUCAUGUUGAAAUGUAAUUGCCAUGAUAACAGUAUUAAUAGGUGGAAUAUUUAAGAGGUGAUUAGGGUGGGAUUGGUGAUGUUAUAAAAGGGUAAGUUCAGCCCCUUCUUGCUCUCUCUGUCACCCUUCCACCUUCCUCUGUGUGAUGAUGCAACAAAAAAGCCCUUCCCAGAUGCCAGCAUCUUGAUUUUGGACUUCUCAGCCUACAGAACUAUAAGCCAAUAAAUUUCUGUUAUUUGUUAUUAGUCUGUGAUAUUCUGUUACAGUAGCACAAAAUGGACUAUGACACCAUGUGUUUACACAGAAAGAAAAAAAUAUCAUACGGUAAUUGCUCCUAAAUAUGCAGAGAAUAUGUUCUGAUAUCCUUAGUGGAUGCCUGAAACUGCAGAUAGUACCAAACCUUAUAUAUACUAUGUUUUUUUUCCCAUACAUAUGCAUGUUAAAGUUUAUAAGUUAGGCAGAGUAAGAUAUGAACAAUAACUAAUAAUGAAAUAGAAACGUAACGAUGUGCUGUAAUAAAAGUUAUGUGACUGAC
rnacentral:lncRNA from 1 species